rfam:Bacillus atrophaeus 1942, complete genome.
UGGGCAGUAUCGCCUGCGAACUGCACCUAUUUUUCCAAAUAGACAAAGAUAUAGCAGCAGUCUGCCUUGAUCCAAAAGGACUGGGACAGAGGG